AACGAACGCUGGCGGCAUGCCUAACACAUGCAAGUCGAACGAUCCCUUCGGGGAUAGUGGCGCACGGGUGCGUAACGCGUGGGAACCUGCCCUUAGGUUCGGAAUAACUCAGAGAAAUUUGAGCUAAUACCGGAUAAUGUCUUCGGACCAAAGAUUUAUCGCCUUUGGAUGGGCCCGCGUUGGAUUAGCUAGUUGGUGGGGUAAAGGCCUACCAAGGCGACGAUCCAUAGCUGGUCUGAGAGGAUGAUCAGCCACACUGGGACUGAGACACGGCCCAGACUCCUAUGGGAGGCAGCAGUGGGGAAUAUUGGACAAUGGGCGAAAGCCUGAUCCAGCAAUGCCGCGUGAGUGAUGAAGGCCUUAGGGUUGUAAAGCUCUUUUACCCGGGAUGAUAAUGACAGUACCGGGAGAAUAAGCCCCGGCUAACUCCGUG
rnacentral:rRNA from 1 species